rfam:Tupaia chinensis contig16091, whole genome shotgun sequence.
GUGCUCGCUUCGGCAGCACAUACACUAACAUUGGAACAACACAGAGAUUAGCAUGGCCCCUGCGUGAGGAUGGCAUGGAAAUUCGUGAAGUGUUCCAUAUUUUG